UUUCAUUAGCAUUUUUCAUACUGUCCCAUCUUUUUCGGAAUUGGGGUUGUAUUUAUUUAGGCUGUCUCAAUUGCUUCUGUCUCUUUAUGUAAUCUCAGACUGACCCAAUGUUCAGUGGGGGGCUUUGUGGGGACCAUGACAUCUGUUGCAGGGCUCCCUGUUCUUCUAUUCUAAUCUUUUCUAUUUACAGAAGUAAUGUUUGGGAGUCUAACAUUUAUAUUUCCUAUUGACACUAAAGCUGAAGAUAUAAAUAACCAUCUUAAGACAAAUGCUUUUGUGAAACCUUUUAUGUGCCUAAGACUUUUGCACAGUACUGUAUAUAAGGAAAAACACUUCUCAGUAGCAGUGUGGUAGCGUAGCCAUUCUUGUAUGUAGCUUUUCAGUUUUUAAACUGCUUUAUCAAGUUAGAGUUAGGGUGCUUCGCCAUCAAGCGCUGUGUGUUGCUUGCGGGUGUCUAUGUGUGCUCGUGUGUAUGUUGGUGAGAAUGAAAGCGAGAGAGUGAGGGUGCUUUACCAUGAUUAAAAUGCAUUUAGUAUAUUAUAGAAAUUGUCAUUCUUAUCUGGUUUACUUAGCCAAUGUCUUUGUUUAAUUUGGUUAUUUUGCUGUGGUAGCCUGUAUGGCUCUUUGAAAUAAGUUAAACAAUUGUCAAAAUGAUAAGAAACCAUUAUGCGCUCAAGACCUGGAAUUACUUUAUAGCUGUGCAUUCACUGAAAAAUAAUUGCAAACCGUAUCUUUUUUUUUCACCCAAUUUGUAAUGCCCAAUUCCCGGUGCGCUUUUUUAAGUCCUUGUGGUCAUGUAGUGAUUCGCCUCAAUCCGGGUGGUGGAGGAUGAAUCCCAGUCGCCUCCGCGUCUGAGACCAUCAACCCGCGCAUCUUAUCACGUGGCUUGUUGAGUGUGUUGCCACGGAGAUAUAGCGCGUGUGGCGGCUUCACGCCAUCCGCAGCAUCCGUGCUCAACUCAGCACGCGCCCCACCGAGAACGAACCACAUUAUAGCGCCCACGAGGAGGUUACCCCAUGUGACUCUACCCUCCCUAGCAACCAGGCCAAUUUGGUUGCUUAGGAGACCUGGCUGGAGUCACUCAGCAUGGCCUGGGAUUCGAACUAGUGAACUCCAGGGGUGGUAGCCAGCGUCUUUUACCACUGAGCUACCCAGGCAUAUUUUGACAUAAGAGGCCAUUCUACUAUAAAAACAUACUGUCAAUUUCAGAACUCAAAAUUUUAUCCCCAAAGCAAUAAAAUAAUUUUUUGACACCAAGCUACAAAAACACCUCUUUCUUUACUUCUGCGACUUCCCUACGUCAUUAGGGGGCCCAUUAAUUCAUGACCGCCUCUACAGCGAAAAAAAAAAACAUGAACUGCCUACAUUGCAUCAUUGCACCCUUGGCCCUGCCCACUGGCGUACUUGGAGAGAGAGAACAGGACAAACAGGCCUUGUGUGGCCUAACUAUUCCUGAACACCAAAGGGGACCCAUCUGGACUAUUUUGAAUUAUUUUUGUAUAUAAACAUGCACUAGACAAACGUCUUUGACCGUUGUCGUGUAUCUCGCGCCGCUUUUAAAAGACGCAGUGUCAAGUUUUGCUGUUGCACAAACUGUUCUUUCGCACAUCUGCUAUAUUUUUAAUUGUUGGUGUAUGUAAACAUGCAUUAGAUGGACGUCUUUGACUGUUUUGAUGCAUUCCUGCUUCAGUGCACGAUGAUACUGUAUGUGUGUGCAUCUUCAUUGUGCUUUGGACUAUGUAUGUGUGGUUUUUCAGCUCAUAUCAGCGUGGAUUGUAUGUUUUUUCGGCUCAAGUCAACAUGGAUUUUUUUGUGAACCAGUCUAUAUGAUUCAAGUUUUGCAAAAGGAACUGUUAUUGAAGGAUGGGGCAGUUAAAAACACUUGGACCCGAUCGCAAAACCGGCCAGUCGUACAAAGCCUUUCCUCUGUCUCAUGACUACGGUAUUUACUCCAGGAGACGAGGCAAGUGAUUCCUCUGCCCCUCCAAUGAUGAUGACCAAAGCAUUACCCACACCAGUAUGGCUCAGCACAUAAUCUAAACUCUUCUUACUGACAGGCAACAGACCUAAAAAGGAGAAAAUAAAUGGAGAAACUACAUUGAAAGGACUUUUUUUAUCAGGAAAUUUUUAUUCAGGGAUACUGACCUGCACACAAAAUAUAUUCUCUGAAGAGGGGAAGGCGGAAAAGUCCGGCCAAGAUUGCAAGAGUGUUGCGCACUCCAGGAAAAGUCUCAGUGAAUCCACUACAGUCUGUACUGAAACAUGAGAAGGCU